GACGAACGCUAGCGGCGUGCUUAACACAUGCAAGUCGAACGGAAAGGCCCUGCUUUUGUGGGGUGCUCGAGUGGCGAACGGGUGAGUUACACGUGCGUAACCUGCCCUUGACUUUGGGAUAACUUCAGUAAACUAGUGCUAAUACCGGAUAUGAGCUGCUGCUGCAUGGUGGUGGUUGGAAAGUUUCGGCGGUUGGGGCUGGACUCGCGGCGUGUCAGCUUGUUGGUGGGGUAGUGGCUUACCAAGGCUUUGACGGGUAGCGGGCCUGAGAGGGUGACCGGACACAUUGGGAAGGCGAUUACGCCCAGACUCCUACGGGAGGAAGCAGUGAGGAAUGUUGCACUAUGGGCGGAAGCCUGAGGCAGCAAAGCAGCGUGUGGGAUGACGGCACUCGGGUUGUAUGCCGAUUUCGCCGGUGACGAAGCGUGAGAUACGGUAAUGGGUAGAGAAGCACCGGCUAACUACGUG
rnacentral:rRNA from 1 species